rnacentral:rRNA from 1 species
UGAGGAAUAUUGGUCAAUGGGGGCAACCCUGAACCAGCCAAGUCGCGUGAAGGAUGAAGGUCUUAUGGAUUGUAAACUUCUUUUAUACAGGAAUAAAUUGGGGGACGUGUCCCCUUUUGCAUGUACUGUAUGAAUAAGGAUCGGCUAACUCCGUGCCAGCAGCCGCGAUAAUACGGAGGAUCCGAGCGUUAUCCGGAUUUAUUGGGUUUAAAGGGUGCGCAGGCGGGAUGUUAAGUCGGCGGUGAAAUUUUGCAGCUCAACUGUAAAAGUGCCUUCGAUACUGGCUUCCUUGAGUGUGGAUGAAGUAGGCGGAAUUUGUGGUGUAGCGGUGAAAUGCGUAGAUAUCUGGAAGAACACCAGUGGCGAAGGCGGUCAACUGGCCCAUAACUGACGCUCAUGCACGAAAGCGUGGGGAGCAAACA